rnacentral:rRNA from 1 species
UAAGGAAUAUUGCUCAAUGGGAGAAAUCCUGAAGCAGCAACGCCGCGUGGAGGAUGAAGGGUCUAUGACUUGUAAACUCCUGUAAAGAAGGAAAAAAUUCCCAUUAGAUGGGAGAUGAUGGUACUUCUGGGGUAAGCCCCGGCUAACUACGUGCCAGCAGCCGCGGUAAUACGUAGGGGGCAAGCGUUGUCCGGAUUUACUGGGAGUCAAGGGCGCGUAGGCGGCGCGGUAAGUCACUUGUGAAAUCUCUGAGCUUAACUCAGAACGGCCAAGUGAUACUGCUGUGCUAGAGGGCGGAAGAGGCAACCGGAAUUCUUGGUGGAGCGGUGAAAUGCGUAGAUAUCAAGAGGAACACCUGAGGCUAAGGCGGGUUGCUGGGCCGAGACUGACGCUGAUGCGCGAAAGCCAGGGGAGC